rnacentral:rRNA from 1 species
CCCGCUGAAUUUAAGCAUAUUAAUAAGCGGAGGAAAAGAAACUAACAAGGAUUCCCUCAGUAACGGCGAGUGAAGCGGGAAGAGCUCAAAUUUGRAAUCUCCGAUGCUUGCAUCGGCGAGUUGUAGUUGCGAGAAGCACUUUCUAGGCGGAUCGACGGUGCCUAAGUUGCUUGGAACRGCACGUCGCAGAGGGUGACAACCCCGUCUGUGGCGCCGCCGGCCGCCGACGAUGUGCUUUCGAAGAGUCGGGUUGUUUGGGAAUGCAGCCCAAAACGGGUGGUAAACUCCAUCUAAAGCUAAAUACUGGCGUGAGACCGAUAGCGAACAAGUACCGUGAGGGAAAGAUGAAAAGAACUUUGAAAAGAGAGUUAAAAAGUACGUGAAACCGUCGAAAGGGAAACGAAUGGACUCAGCAAUGCGCCCUCUGAGAUUCAGCCGGUGKGUGGCGGCGGCGCCGGGUUUGCGGAUCUGAAUGGACCGCGGCCUGGCGCCCGCCUCGUCUCCCCGCCGUCGCACUUCUCUGGGGCGCGCGUCAACGUGGGUUGGGACUGGGUCUGAAAGGCGCCGGGAAGGUAGGUGUGGGCCUUCGGGUCCGUUCUGUUACAGCCCGGUUCUCUCAUGGCUCGGGCCCGACCGAGGAGCGACACGGGGCAUGCCUCCUGUGGCUAGGGUCCCGCCCUUCCGGCCGGCUGUCCAGUGCGGUGGACUGCUUGCAGUGCUCCGCGGCGGCUGCCGGUCGUUGGGGUGGUGAUCUCGUACCAUGCCCCUAGGAUGUUGGCGGUCAUAUGGGUGC